CGUAAGUCGUGCCGAGUUCUGUCGAAAUGUGCGGAACGCGGAGUGGAACGAGUUGGUAUAGGUUAAAAGUGCAUUGGAACCUAUAUAGAUGUUAAAGGGACCCGAGAGAGUGAAAUUGCAAAAUCUGGCUAAGUCCCAGAUUUUGGACUCUCGGGGAUCGGUCCUUGAGGAGAGAGACCGGUCCCCGUAUGCGUAGCCUGCCCAAGAAGCUCGAAAAUCGGCUAAGUCUUGAAAAUCCAGGCUACGGGAACCAGUCCAUGCGGGGAGAGACUGGUCCCCGUAGGUGGAAAGGUUGAGAAAUGGCUAGUUGUGAAAAUGUUGCUCUCGGGAACCGGUCCCUGUGAUGAGAGAUCGGUCCCUGUGCGCGUAAUCAGCCCAAGAAGAGUGGAAAUUUGGCUAAGUCCUGAGAGGAGUGCUCUCGGGGACCGGUCCCUGCGGGGAGAGACCGGUCCCCGUAUGCGAAAUCUGCCCAGGUUGGGCUAUUGAAAAAAUGGAAAGUUGAGGGGUUUAAGUGCUAUUGUGACAUGAGUUGAGUGUAUAGAGGUGAGAGUUUGGGUUAGCUCUCAUUUCCCUCACACCCAAACACAAAACCUCUCCCUCUCUCUCUCUAGAACCUUUUUUUCUCUCUUCCUUCUCUUAGAGCUUGGAGCAAGGAGGCUUUGAGGAGGAAUCUUGGCGGAGAAGAAAGCCAAGUCAGGGGUGUAGCUUGCUUGAGUGCAAGUGUACAAGGAAAGCUUGGACUCCAAAAGUGAGUUCUCAUGAUUUGAGUUAGGGUUUUGGUUUGUUUCCUUCUAGCAUACUUCUAGGAGAUGAUUAGAGGAUUUCCCCCAUGUUUCUCAUGUGUAAGGACUAGAAAUAGGGAAGAUGAUAUUGUACAAUGACCUAACUUUAAGAUUUUUGGAGUUUGAGGUCGAAGCUUGGGUUUGAUCUCAUUUUAACCUAAUUGGUAGGUCAACGAACGCGUUGGUGCGCUCGGCUCGGCGAUACGACGAGCGUGCAUGGAGAAAUUGAAGAAACAGCCUAAAUCAGUGCAGAUCAUCGCAGCUCGCGGCGUACAAGUCUAAAAAUUGUGGAAAAUUGCAUUUCGGCAUCCUUGUAUCACCAAAAGGUGGGGGGUGCUGUCCGGAAACACCGGAUUUCUUUCUAUGUCUAUGUCACUUUAUUUGAGCAUCUUGUAUCAUUGCAUUCUUGCAUAUAGGGUAGUUUAUUAUGUGUGCUUAAUUGAAUUGCAUUUAGAUGCUAAAGGAACAUGUGAAUGAUGAAGCACCAUGAGGACUUGUAUGUGAGAACCCUAUGUGCAUGUGAAUGCGAGAAAAGACUUGGACAAUAGUAAAUGAGGGUGCCAUUGACAUUAGUGACCAGAUUGGCACCGAGAAUGUAAACGACUAAACAAGGUUUAGCUUAUUAUGGCAUCUGGACCAUUGUGGCUUUGUGCAUUGAGACAGGUUUGGCAAGAUUUUCUCAAAUUGAGGAUUGGAUCGUACUCACACUAGCUUUGGCUUGAGGAAGGUAGCUCC
rnacentral:lncRNA from 1 species